UACGUAGGGUCCAAGCGUUAUCCGGAAUCACUGGGCGUAACGCGUGCGUAGGUGGAUGUUUAAGUGUGAUGUUAAAUCGUGUGGCUCAACCAUAUCGAUGCAUCGCAUACUGGACGUCUAGAGGACAGCAGAGGCAAGUGGAAUUUGUAGUGUAGCAGUGAAAUGCGUAGAUAUUACAAGGAACACCAAUGGCGAAGGCAGCUUGCUGGGCUACUCCUGACACUGAGGUACGAAAGCGUGGGGAGCGAACAGG
rnacentral:rRNA from 1 species